GACGAACGUUGGCGGCGUGCUCAACACUUGAAAGCCGAACGGAAAGGCCCUGCUUUUGUGGGGUGCUCGAGUGGCGAACGGGUGAGUAACACGUGAGUAACCUGCCCUUGACUUUGGGAUAACUUCAGGAAACUGGGGCUAAUACCGGACAGGAGCUCCUGCUGCAUGGUGGGGGUUGGAAAGUUUCGGCGGUUGGGGAUGGACUCGAGGCUUAUCAGCUUGUUGGUGGGGUAGUGGCUUACCAAGGCUUUGACGGGUAGCCGGCCUGAGAGGGUGACCGGCCACAUUGGGACUGAGAGACGGCCCAGACUCCUACGGGAGGCAGCAGUGGGGAAUAUUGCACAAUGGGCGGAAGCCUGAUGCAGCAACGCCGCGUGCGGGAUGACGGCCUUCGGGUUGUAAACCGCUUUCGCCUGUGACGAAGCGUGAGUGACGGUAAUGGGUAAAGAAGCACCGGCUAACUACGUG
rnacentral:rRNA from 1 species